AGUGAACGCUGGCGGUAGGCCUAACACAUGCAAGUCGAACGGCAGCACAGUAAGAGCUUGCUCUUACGGGUGGCGAGUGGCGGACGGGUGAGGAAUACAUCGGAAUCUACUUUUUCGUGGGGGGAUAACGUAGGGAAACUUACGCUAAUACCGCAUACGACCUACGGGUGAAAGCAGGGGAUCUUCGGACCUUGCGCGAUUGAAUGAGCCGAUGUCGGAUUAGCUGGUUGGCGGGGUAAAGGCCCACCAAGGCGACGAUCCGUAGCUGGUCUGGGAGGAUGAUCAGCCACACUGGAACUGAGACACGGUCCAGACUCCUACGGGAGGCAGCAGUGUGGAAUAUUGGACAAUGGGCGCAAGCCUGAUCCAGCCAUACCGCGUGGGUGAAGAAGGCCUUCGGGUUGUAAAGCCCUUUUGUUGGGAAAGAAAAGCAGCAGGUUAAUACCCCGCUGUUCUGACGGUACCCAAAGAAUAAGCACCGGCUAACUUCGUG
rnacentral:rRNA from 1 species